GACGAACGCUGGCGGCGUGCCUAAUACAUGCAAGUAGAACGCUGAAGGAGGAGCUUGCUUCUCCGGAUGAGUUGCGAACGGGUGAGUAACGCGUAGGUAACCUGCCUGGUAGCGGGGGAUAACUAUUGGAAACGAUAGCUAAUACCGCAUAAGAGUAGAUGUUGCAUGACAUUUACUUAAAAGGUGCAAUUGCAUCACUACCAGAUGGACCUGCGUUGUAUUAGCUAGUUGGUGGGGUAACGGCUCACCAAGGCGACGAUACAUAGCCGACCUGAGAGGGUGAUCGGCCACACUGGGACUGAGACACGGCCCAGACUCCUACGGGAGGCAGCAGUGGGGAAUUUUGGACAAUGGGCGCAAGCCUGAUCCAGCCAUGCCGCGUGUCUGAAGAAGGCCUUCGGGUUGUAAAGGACUUUUGUCAGGGAAGAAAAGGGCGGGGUUAAUACCCCUGUCUGAUGACGGUACCUGAAGAAUAAGCACCGGCUAACUACGUGCCAGCAGCCGCGGUAAUACGUAGGGUGCGAGCGUUAAUCGGAAUUACUGGGCGUAAAGCGGGCGCAGACGGUUACUUAAGCAGGAUGUGAAAUCCCCGGGCUCAACCUGGGAACUGCGUUCUGAACUGGGUGACUAGAGUGUGUCAGAGGGAGGUAGAAUUCCACGUGUAGCAGUGAAAUGCGUAGAGAUGUGGAGGAAUACCGAUGGCGAAGGCAGCCUCCUGGGAUAACACUGACGUUCAUGCCCGAAAGCGUGGGUAGCAAACAGGAUUAGAUACCCUGGUAGUCCACGCCCUAAACGAUGUCGAUUAGCUGUUGGGCAGCUUGACUGCUUAGUAGCGAAGCUAACGCGUGAAAUCGACCGCCUGGGGAGUACGGUCGCAAGAUUAAAACUCGAAGGAAUUGACGGGGACCCGCACAAGCGGUGGAUGAUGUGGAUUAAUUCGAUGCAACGCGAAGAACCUUACCUGGUCUUGACAUGUACGGAACCCUCCAGAGACGGAGGGGUGCCUUCGGGAGCCGUAACACAGGUGCUGCAUGGCUGUCGUCAGCUCGUGUCGUGAGAUGUUGGGUUAAGUCCCGCAACGAGCGCAACCCUUGUCAUUAGUUGCCAUCAUUAAGUUGGGCACUCUAAUGAGACUGCCGGUGACAAGCCGGAGGAAGGUGGGGAUGACGUCAAGUCCUCAUGGCCCUUAUGACCAGGGCUUCACACGUCAUACAAUGGUCGGUACAGAGGGUAGCCAAGCCGCGAGGUGGAGCCAAUCUCACAAAACCGAUCGUAGUCCGGAUUGCACUCUGCAACUCGAGUGCAUGAAGUCGGAAUCGCUAGUAAUCGCAGGUCAGCAUACUGCGGUGAAUACGUUCCCGGGUCU
rnacentral:rRNA from 1 species